UGGGGAAUAUUGGGCAAUGGGGGAAACCCUGACCCAGCGACGCCGCGUGAGGGAAGACGGCCUUCGGGUCGUAAACCUCUUUUGUACGGGAAGAAGGACGUGACGGUACCGUGCGAAUAAGUCCCGGCUAACUACGUGCCAGCAGCCGCGGUAAUACGUAGGGGACGAGCGUUGACCGGAAUUACUGGGCGUAAAGGGCGCGCAGGCUGUAGAUCAAGUCAGCUGUGAAAUGUCUGGGCUUAACCCGGGCAUGCGGUUGAAACUGAUGUACUGGAGUGCUGUAGAGGCAAGUGGAAUUCCCAGUGUAGCGGUGAAAUGCGUAGAUAUUGGGAAGAACACCGGUGGCGAAGGCGACUUGCUGGGCAGCAACUGACGCUGAGGCGCGAAAGCCAGGGGAGCAAACGG
rnacentral:rRNA from 1 species